GAUGAACGCUAGCGGCAGGCCUAACACAUGCAAGUCGAGGGGUAGAACACUUCGGUGUUUGAGACCGGCGCACGGGUGCGUAACGCGUAUGCAAUCUACCUUGUACAGGGGAAUAGCCCAGAGAAAUUUGGAUUAAUGCCCCAUAGUAUAUAACCUUCGCAUGUUGGUUAUAUUAAAGUUCCAACGGUACAAGAUGAGCAUGCGCCCCAUUAGUUAGUGGGUAAGGUAACGGCUUACCAAGACGAUGGUGGGUAGGGGUGCUGAGAGGGAGAUCCCCACACUGGUACUGAGACACGGACCAGACUCCUACGGGAGGAAGCAGUGAGGAAUAUUGGUCAAUGGGCGCAAGCCUGAACCAGCCAUGCCGCGUGCAGGAAGACGGUCCUAUGGAUUGUAAACUGCUUUUAUACAGGAAGAAACCCUCCCACGUGUGGGAGAUUGACGGUACUGUAGGAAUAAGGAUCGGCUAACUCCGUGCCAGCCGCCGCUGUAACAC
rnacentral:rRNA from 1 species